AAGAAAAAGAAACUAGAAGAGUCAGGGGGUUGGAACAUACCUGUAAUUGUAACUCUGGGGAUAAGAAGUUCAAAAAACAAAGAUAAUAAAAAGCUGAGAAUAUCAAUAAAGCCAAAAAUGAUAAAUCUCCUUGGAUGGGUGAGCACACUCCUGAUUCCCAGCACUCAGGAGGCUGAGGCAAGAUUAUGAUUCAAGACCAGUUUGGAUUGUCCAAGCAAGAUCUUUUCUGAAGAAAAAAAGGUUCAGGUGAGAUGACUCAGCUGGCAAAGAUCUCUAGAAACUUCCAAGCAUCACAUCUAUCAAAGGACUAUUGUGUUUUGUCAAGUAGCUUUUGAUUGUAUAGACAACAUUAUUAGCUUAGAUUUACACAUUGAAGAGCCUUGGUGUGUUCCCAGUUGGGGGUAGGGCUUUUGAAUAAUGUUGCUAUUUACAAUUACCUACGAGCUCUUAUGUGCGUACAAGUCUUAAUUUGUCUUGAGUAAAUUUCCAGGGAUUAAUGGAUCACAUGGCAAGUGGAUGUUUAUAAAAAAUUGUUCAACUCCUUUUCCAAAAUGGCUAUCCCAUUCUGUACUCCCAAACAUAAGUAACGGGAGCAAAGCUCUGUCGCUCUGCAUCCUCACCAGCUUUGGUAUCAAUGACGAUACACACGCUUUCAACCAAACACACAAUAUACGAAAUAAAGAUUUUUAAACUGGGCGUUUAAACCUCAAGUGCUGGGAUUAUGGAUGAGUCAUCACGUAGGGCUGUGGGAGGAUAGUCAGGAACUGAGGACCAGGAAGGGUUAAAUGACCCAAUUCAUCACAAAAUCAGGAUUCGUUCACAGACACCGGCUAAGCUCCUUCUACCGCCCGGGUUCUUUAGGCUCAUUUUCCCACCCUCAGCCUGGCUGCUGGGACAGAAUACCUCAAACACAUCACGUUUUUGCUUGCGUGGGUCGGCUUACUGCUAAGGGAUGCGCUAAUUACAGACCCCAGAACUGAGUUGGAGGGGGAGGAAAAAAAAAAAUCCGGAAGCCGCGAGCCCGCAGCUUGCAAACUGCCAGUUUCUUCCCAGCUCCAUGGUUGGAGUGUGACCUUUCUACACUCUGGAGGACUCAGAAAGCAAGACCAAUGAGUCGAUCGCUCCUGUGCGCAUGACAAUAAAGCUGGGUUCCUAUUGGUCAGUAUCGCAAAAGCCCGCCCAAUAACUUCCGGAAGCCUUCUUUAAGUUAAGGUCUCGCGACCAUUUCUGUCUCUUUGCGACCGGCAGACCUCGAAGAUCUGCCCAGCGGAAGACAGCAGACAGCGUGGACCUCUCCACCCUUUCCCCAAGCCUCUGAAUAAAGUGUUUGGACUCUAA